UACAGAGGGUGCAAGCGUUAAUCGGAAUUACUGGGCGUAAAGCGCACGUAGGCGGUUUUUUAAGUCAGAUGUGAAAGCCCCGGGCUCAACCUGGGAAUUGCAUUUUGAAACUGGGGAACUAGAGUGUGUGAGAGGGGGGUAGAAUUCCAAGUGUAGCGGUGAAAUGCGUAGAGAUUUGGAGGAAUACCAGUGGCGAAGGCGGCCCCCUGGCACAACACUGACGCUCAGGUGCGAAAGCGUGGGGAGCAAACAGG
rnacentral:rRNA from 1 species